AACGAACGCUGGCGGCGUGGAUAAGACAUGCAAGUCGAACGGGGCUUACGGGUAGCAAUACUUUGUAAGUUCAGUGGCGAACGGGUGCGUAACACGUGAGUAAUCUGCCGGGAAAUGGGGGAUAGCUCGCCGAAAGGCGAAUUAAUACCGCAUGUGGCCAAGAAGGACAUCCUUCUGAAGCUAAAGUCGCAAGACGUUUCCUGAUGAGCUCGCGGCCUAUCAGCUAGUUGGUGAGGUAAUGGCUCACCAAGGCUAUGACGGGUAGCUGGUCUGAGAGGACGACCAGCCACACUGGAACUGAGACACGGUCCAGACACCUACGGGUGGCAGCAGUCGAGAAUUUUUCACAAUGGGGGAAACCCUGAUGGAGCGACGCCGCGUGGAGGAUGAAGGCGUUUUCGUCGUAAACUCCUGUCAAACGGGAACAAGAAAGUGAUAGUACCGUUAGAGGAAGAGACGGCUAACUCUGUGCCAGCAGCCGCCGUAAUAC
rnacentral:rRNA from 1 species